UUCCAAUGAGUAAUAGUAUGGUAAACUCAAAGGAGUUUCUUUUCUUCGGCCUUCUCCUUUUUGUGUUCCUAUCUUUCCAAGUCUUGGCUCAUCAUGAAGAGAACAAUGCUAAUCAUUUGAGUGGGUUACUUUCUUUGUUAGCUUAUUUCAUACCUAAAAUAGUUAUUGUUUCCAUGUUUUUUCCAACACACACAAAAUAUGAACAAAACAUUUGACCUAGGUUUUUGUUAAUUGAUCUUACACAUAUUAUUAUUAGGACUAGCGUUAGUUAGCACGUAUAUGAGUCUAACAUAACCAUAUGUUAAUCUUUUACAGAUUUUAGAGGUAGAUAGAUAUAUAUGUAACACGGUUUAUUAUUUUUUGAUCCGAAAUAUUAAUAAAAAGAAAUAAAAUUAGGAGAAUAAGUAGUACUCUCAUUCACGUAUAGUUUUUAGAUAACUAACAUAAAUUAAUGCAAGUCGAUCGGUUUAACGCACAUCCUUCAUAUGCAACACGUUUAUUAUAUAUUUAUAUCAUUAUUCAUUAAAUAGAUGAUGCUUAUGAUUUUGAUUGAGUUCAUUAUGAUAAUGAAGAUAAUUUAGGUGAUGGUGGUUAUGGGGAUGAUGCUAAGAAGACUAUUGGUGGUAAUUUAUUGUUUUCAAAAUCCAUCCCCAGAGCACAAUCGAAGUUGAAUUACAUGAGUAAGAUAUAGUAGAAUUUGAGAUUUGUGUAUUUUAUCAUCCUUCCCCAAAAAGAAUUAGGUCGAAUGAGUUUUUAAGGCAAUACAUAGUAUUGUUGAUUUUUAUUUUUAGAAGUUCCCAAAUCAUUAUUAAGAAUUAUUCAACUUAAUUAGCGUUGAUCCUCUAGUUUCACAUAAAACCUUGCGUAGAACUGAAUAUGGUUAUUAUGGUCAAAUAAUAAGGAAAAAUGGUAUAAUCAUUUUACCAAAUUUUAGCAAAAAAUGAGGAAAAUUGAUUCCUUAAGACAAGAAUCAACAUUGAUGAAUUUUAGUCUCAGAACACUAGUGGUAUAAUCAUUCCAUGUGGACUAAUAAAAAUGGUACAAUCAUAUGAUAACCUAGAUUAUUUGGGUGUAGAUAAAAUUUAAAGUAUGUUAUUUAACCUAAAUUAUAUUCAACGUUGUUAAUAGAUAUAUACCUGCAGAGGAUUUUUUAUAUGUGAGUUUUAUAAAUGGUAUUAUAAUGUAAUAUGUUUUAGUUGUUUAAUUCACAAUUAUUAUUAUUUAUUAUUCUAGAUUGAUCAAACUUUGUUUUCAUCUAUUGCAUAUUAUAUGGAUAUAGUUAUGUAACACAUUUGUUAUAUAUCUUCUUACUUCAUUAAAUGGACAUAUGAUUGCAAUUAUGUUUGUGUUGAUUAAGAUAAGAAUAAUUGUUUAGGUGGCGAUGGUCCAGCUGAUGAUGACCCUGAUCCUAGAGAUCGGAAUAAUAAUGAUCUUCUACUUUCACAAAAAUACUUACCUUCAAUUCGAUAUGAAUACAAUGCUCAAUCAUCUAAAAACAAUCCAUCCAAGUUGAG
rnacentral:lncRNA from 1 species